AAUGUGGUUUGCAGUUGAAUCACUGGGUGAGUCACACAAUGGUUGUAAACUUUCCUCUUCAUUCAGAAUGAAAAUUAAUAAGAAAUAGGACUGGUGAGUUUUUUUCCCACUUGCAAUGGCAAAAUUACGAGUUUACAACAUUUUUGUUGAAAAGCAGCUUAGACAUUUCAAAAGCAAUGUGGAGAAAAAUGAGUAAGUAUCCAGAGAAGGGCCAACAGGAAGUUCAGGAGUGAAAAUCAAGAUGUAAAUAUUGUGGAUGCCAUCAGAUAAAACAAAAGAAAACAUCUCCAUAUGGAGAAAAUUACAGACUUUUAACUUCAAGAAGUGAAACCAGUUUGCACACAAGUAUUUAAUGAUAGACCAUGGUUCAUUCUGGCAAUAUUGAGUUUCACAGACUUACGUAAAGUUACAUUAGAUGGUGACUGAAAAGUAAAAUAUUCAAAUUCUAGAUACUAGACACAACAUUAAAGUCAUACAUCUCAAUGGAAGCAAGUCAGAAGCUUCAAUUAACAACAUUAAUUCAAGCUAAGCAUCAAUUCAGAAGUGGUUAUCAGUGUUUCACAGGGCACGUUACUUUAUGAACGGACAAACAGCAAUGGAUAGAAACUAAAAGAGGGGACAACAUUAUGAAUCAGUAGAAGCAACUGAGAAACAUUGGAACAAAACCAGAGAACACCACAUUCCAACUAGUGUUGGAGGAAAAGCCUCCAGCCUGCAUGGACCUCAGAAAACCCAAACACUAAAGAUCUUGUGUCAUGCAUGACAGUUGGAGCCAGUUUAGAUAUAUGAGAACUGUUGUUUGUGUAAUAUGCAACUUGGUAUCACUCAAUGACAAAUGAUAGUGCAACCAUAUUUAGUUUCUGUUUAUGAAAAGGGGGUUAUUUGGUUGAUAUGUAAAUGUGUACAAAUGUCUUUCCUGCUUGCUAUAGUCAUGUGACAUCAGCCGUGUAGGCAGCCAUCUAAUACAGUACAAGAACCUCUACUCCUUGAACACAGCACUCAUGAAAAGGAAGGGACUGAAUACUCUUAUUCAUGGACAUUUAAGUUAAGAAUAAUGCAGAUCUGGGGAUAUCUAAAGAGUUUGGAUAUUAAAGUCAUGGACCAGCAUGUGGAGACAUCACAUUCUAUCGACAUCGACCACACUCUUGCAAUCCACCAAUAAAUGGGCUCUCCAUGCCAAAACUCAACACCAGGUGCCAAAGCUGCAGCCGUCAUGUUAAAGUUGGAGGUGACUAAAGGCGAAUAAUAAAAUAACCAAAAAUACAAAGCUCUCUCUGAACCAGAAAUACAUCAGGAUAAUAAAACAGAAUGCAGAAUAUAGUGUCACAGUUACAGGGAAGGUGCGGAGUAAGAUCAAUUCUAAUACAUGAGACAUUUGUUCAUAAGUCUGAUAACAAUGGGGAAGAAGCUGUCCUUAAAUCGAUUGGUAUGUAUUUUCAAAUUUUUAAUCCUUCUGCUCGAUGAAAGAGAGUGGAAGAGCAUAUAACCAGGUGGGAGAGGUCUUUAAUUACAUUCUCUGCUUUCCCAAGGCUGCAGGAAGUGUAGACUGAGUCAAUGGAUGGAAGGAGAAAGUGAGGACUGCGGAUGCUGGAGAUGCUCCGAUAUUUCCAGCAACACAUUUUCAGCUCAAUGGAUGGAAGGCUGGUUUUUGUGAUGGACUAAGCUGUGUCUGCACCUCUCUAUAAUUUGUUGUGAUCUUGGGAAGAGCACUAAGUUGUGAUACAACUGGAUAGGAUGCUUUCUGUGGCGUAUUGAUAAAACUGGUAAGAGUCAUUGCGGACAUGUUGAAUUUCCUUCACCUUCUGAGGAAGCAGAGGUAUUGAUGUGCUUUCUUGUCUGUACAUUGAUGCGUUAGGAUAGAUCAUUGGUGAUAUUUACUCCGAGGAGCGUGAAGCUCUCAAUCACCUCUUCCUCAGCACCAUCGAUACAGACAUGGAUAUGUCCUCCACUCAGAUUCCUGAAGUCGAUGCCCAGCUCCUGCAUUUUGCUGACAUUAAAGGGAGAGACUAUUGUCUGUACACCAUGCCACUAAGUUAUCUAUCUCCCUCCUGUUCUGUCUCACUGUCGUUUGAGAUCCGACCCACUAAUGUGGUGUCGUUUGAGAUCCGACCCACUAAUGUGGUGUCAUCACCAAGUUUGUAAAGGGAGCUAGGACAGAAUGUGGCCACACAGUCAUGAGUGCACAAGGAGUACAGUGGGGGCUGAGUACACAACUUUUCGAGGCACCAGAGUUGAGGAUUAUUGAGGAACAAAUUCAUCUAACUAUUGUACUAACACCAUUCUUGAUUAAAAGUGCUCUUUCUCCACCUCUACCUAGCUCCCUGUUCUUCUCGAAUAUCAGAUACGUCUCAUUAAUCUAAUCUAAAAUUUAUUUAUUUCUUACAGUGAGGAAACAGGCCCUUCAUCCCAACAAUUCCACACCGAC